rnacentral:rRNA from 1 species
UCGGGAAUUUUGGGCAAUGGGCGAAAGCCUGACCCAGCAACGCCGCGUGGAUGAUGAAGGCCUUAGGGUUGUAAAAUCCUUUCGUUGGGGACGAUAAUGACGGUACCCAAAGAAGAAGCUCCGGCUAACUUCGUGCCAGCAGCCGCGGUAAUACGAAGGGGGCUAGCGUUGUUCGGAUUUACUGGGCGUAAAGCGCGUGUAGGCGGAUUUGUAAGUUGGGGGUGAAAUCCCGAGGCUCAACCUCGGAACUGCCUCCAAAACUACAAGUCUGGACCUAAGUAGAGGCAAGUGGAAUUGCGAGUGUAGAGGUGAAAUUCGUAGAUAUUCGCAGGAACACCAGUGGCGAAGGCGACUUGCUGGACUUAUGGUGACGCUGAGACGCGAAAGCGUGGGGAGCAAACAGGAUUAGAUACCCCAGUAGUCCCUGAGCGGGCUGGCAAGGCGCAU